UACGUAGGGUGCGAGCGUUAAUCGGAAUUACUGGGCGUAAAGCGUGCGCAGGCGGUUCGUUGUGUCUGAUGUGAAAGCCCCGGGCUCAACCUGGGAAUGGCAUUGGAAACUGGCGAGCUAGAGUGUGGCAGAGGGGGGUGGAAUUCCGCGUGUAGCAGUGAAAUGCGUAGAGAUGCGGAGGAACACCGAUGGCGAAGGCAGCCCCCUGGGCUGACACUGACGCUCAGGCGCGAAAGCGUGGGGAGCAAACAGG
rnacentral:rRNA from 1 species